GGGGUUAUAGCUCAGUAGGUAGAGCGUUUGCAUGGCAUGCAAAAUGUCAGCGGUUCGAUUCCGCUUAACUCCA
rnacentral:tRNA from 1 species